rnacentral:rRNA from 1 species
GAUGAACGCUAGCUACAGGCUUAACACAUGCAAGUCGAGGGGAAACGAUAUUGGAAGCUUGCUUCCGAUAGGCGUCGACCGGCGCACGGGUGAGUAACGCGUAUCCAACCUGCCCAUCACUUGGGGAUAACCUUGCGAAAGUAAGACUAAUACCCAAUGACGUCUCUAGAAGACAUCUGAAGGAGAUUAAAGAUUUAUCGGUGAUGGAUGGGGAUGCGUCUGAUUAGCUUGUUGGCGGGGUAACGGCCCACCAAGGCGACGAUCAGUAGGGGUUCUGAGAGGAAGGCCCCCCCACAUUGGAACUGAGACACGGUCCAAACUCCUACGGGAGGCAGCAGUGAGGAAUAUUGGGCAAUGGACGAGAGUCUGAACCAGCCAAGUAGCGUGCAGGAUGACGGCCCUAUGGGUUGUAAACUGCUUUAUAAGGGAAUAAAGUGGGAGUCGUGACUCUUUUUGCAUGUACCUUAUGAAUAAGGACCGGCUAAUUCCGUGCCAGCAGCCCGACGG